UACGGAGGGUGCGAGCGUUAAUCGGAAUUACUGGGCGGAACGCGCGCGUCGGUGGCGUGAUAAGCCGGUUGUGAAAGCCCCGGGCUCAACCUGGGAACGGCAUCCGGAACUGUCAGGCUAGAGUGCAGGAGAGGAAGGUAGAAUUCCCGGUGUAGCGGCGAAAUGCGUAGAGAUCGGGAGGAAUACCAGUGGCGAAGGCGGCCUUCUGGACUGACACUGACACUGAGGUGCGAAAGCGUGGGUAGCAAACAGG
rnacentral:misc_RNA from 1 species